UCUCGCCUUGCAGCUUCUUCCAGAAACAAUCGCUAUCUUUCUCCCUGCAUCUUUUUCAAUCACCGAAACAAUUUCCAUCUUCACUCUGCAUCUUCGUCAAUCACCCACGUAAUUUGUCGAGUCCAUCUAAAGUUUCAUGAAUUAGUCUACAUACAAAUUUCAAUCUCAGCAAAUCUCACGAAGCUCAAAGAUUUUCCUCGCAUCUCAGCAUUCAAAUUCGUCGAUCACCGAAACAAUCUCCCUCGCUGUGUCCAUCUACGAUUCACGAAUCAGUUUGUGAUUAAUCAAAUUUGAGAGGUACUUGAUUUUCUACAUGUUAAUUUUCUCCCUAAUUUCAUCUCAAUUUAUAUUUCUAAACUAUUCAAAAACCUUGAUCUUUUGUAUAAAUUCAAUGAAUGAGGAAAUGAACCAUCUACCCCAUACCCGUCACAGCCCUCCCCUUAAGCCAAACAAGUUUGCACGCCGGCGAGAGGAAAAAGUCAUGUACGCCAAAAUUUUCAGUUACAAGUUAGUUUUUGCCUAAUCCUUUUUUGAUUGAAUGUAUAGUUUCAAAGAUAAAUAUGUGUGGUCAUCUAUUUAUUUAUUCAAUGAAUCUUGUGUUUUUAUUCUCUGCGAAUUUACCCAGAUAUUGUCUGUGUUUUGUAGUUCUAAUCUGAAUGGGUAAAGCAUAAGAUAUUUAAAUGACUUUUUAUUGUAUAUAGACAAUAUUUAAUUUUCACCAGAAUAACAUGAUGGCUCUGAUCAACUGUUCUCCCUGGCCCUUCUUUUAAAUUGUGGG
rnacentral:lncRNA from 1 species